rnacentral:tRNA from 1 species
GCCCCUGUAGCUCAGUGGAUAGAGCGUCUGCCUCCGGAGCAGAAGGUCGUGGGUUCGAAUCCCGCCGGGGGCA